AUUGAACGCUGGCGGCAUGCCUUACACAUGCAAGUCGAACGGUAACAGGUCUUCGGAUGCUGACGAGUGGCGAACGGGUGAGUAAUACAUCGGAACGUGCCCGAUCGUGGGGGAUAACGGAGCGAAAGCUUUGCUAAUACCGCAUACGAUCUACGGAUGAAAGCAGGGGACCGCAAGGCCUUGCGCGGACGGAGCGGCCGAUGGCAGAUUAGGUAGUUGGUGGGAUAAAAGCUUACCAAGCCGACGAUCUGUAGCUGGUCUGAGAGGAUGAUCCGCCACACUGGAACUGAGACACGGUCCAGACUCCUACGGGAGGCAGCAGUGGGGAAUUUUGGACAAUGGGCGCAAGCCUGAUCCAGCCAUUCCGCGUGCAGGAUGAAGGCCUUCGGGUUGUAAACUGCUUUUGUACGGAACGAAAAGGCUCUGGUUAAUACCCGGGGCUCAUGACGGUACCGUAAGAAUAAGCACCGGCUAACUACGUG
rnacentral:rRNA from 1 species